UACGAAGGGGGCUAGCGUUGUUCGGAAUUACUGGGCGUAAAGCGCGCGCAGGCGGUCUUCCAAGUCAGUGGUGAAAGCCCGGAGCUCAACUCCGGAAUUGCCAUUGAAACUGUUGGACUUGAGGUUGAGAGAGGUGAGUGGAAUUCCCAGUGUAGAGGUGAAAUUCGUAGAUAUUGGGAAGAACACCGGUGGCGAAGGCGGCGACCUGGUCCUUGACUGACGCUGAGGCGCGAAAGCGUGGGGAGCAAACAGG
rnacentral:rRNA from 1 species